GGCUCCUUGUUUUUUGUAUAUAAGGAGUCGGACCUGCCCAGUGAAAAGUUUUAACGGCCGCGGUACUCUGACCGUGCAAAGGUAGCAUAAUCACUUGCCUUAUAAUUGAAGGCUAGUAUGAAUGGUUUGACGAGAGCGCUGCUGUCUCUCUUCUGAUUUAUAAAAAUUAACUUUCAGGUGAAGAGGCCUGUCUAGAAUUGAAGGACGAGAAGACCCUGUCGAGCUUUAAGAAAACAAGGAAAAUCUUAUACUCAGUAAAUAUAAAGCCUUCUUUAUCUUUUGGUUGGGGCGACUAGGGAACAAUCAAAGCUUCCCUUACUUGUAAAACCUAUUUGUUAGGAUCCAGUAUUUUUCUACUGAUUAAAAGAAUUAGUUACCGCAGGGAUAACAGCAUAAUCCUUCUUGAGAGAUCUAAUCGAAAGAAGGGGUUGUGACCUCGAUGUUGGACUAGGAUAUCCUGAGGGUGCAGAAGCCUUCGAGGGUUGGUCUGUUCGACCAUUAAAAUCCUA
rnacentral:rRNA from 1 species